CCUACGCGAGGCAGCAGUGGGGAAUAUUGCACACUGGUCGAAACCCUGAUGCAGCGACGCCGCGUGAGUGCAGAAGUAAUUCGUUAUGUAAAGCUCUAUCAGCAGGGAAGAAAAUGACGGUACCUGAGUAAGAAUCCCUGGCUAACGACGUUCCAGCAACCGCGGUAAUACUUAGUGGGCAAGCGUUCUCCGGAUUUACUGGGUGUAAAUGGAGCGUAGACGGCAGUGCACGUCUGGAGUGAAAGGCGGGGGCUCAACCCCCGGACUGCUCUUGAAACUGUAAGGCUGGAGUGCAGGAGGGGAAGGCGGAAUUCCUGGUGUAGCGGUGAAAUGCGUAGAUAUCAGGAGGAACACCGGUGGCGAAGGCGGCCUGCUGGACUGCGACUGACGUUGAGGCCCGAAAGCGUGGGAAGCAAACAGGAUUAGAUACCCCAGUAGUC
rnacentral:rRNA from 1 species